CCCAUGCGCUGGUCGUGAUGCUCGCGGCGGCUACUGCGGUUAUCACGCGGAUGCAGCUCUGAAACAGCUCGCAAUGCACGCAGUGAUGUGCCGUCCGCAUCCCGGAGCGGCGUGCGGGGCCGGUAUCUAGUGUGAAGAUCGCCUUCGUCGCUUGCGUGCUCUGUUCUGCCGUCGUCCCCGUGCUAUCAGGAAAUCUACAGAGAGGAGUCGAAAAUGCAGAAAUGACAGCUCGCACACAAAUGCCUAAAGCUCUGAAGCUUGUAAGCUGCUUAGAAAGUCGCCCAAAACAUAUUGGCAUAGAGUUAUGGAGCCCGUCUGCAAAAAGGUAAGAAAAUUGUGAUAUUAACUUCUAAUAUUUUCACAUCUUUAUUUGAUUCAGAUAUUUCUAUUUAGAUGUAACUGCCAGUAGAGAGGUGAUGUCUCAUUAGAUGUAACCCAAUGAAAGAUUUCUCUCAUUAGAACUCCUAUAUGACUAGUGCUGCAGACUGUUAUGGGAUGCCUGCAAUUUUUAAUUAUAAACCGACACAUGGAGCCGAGGUUUUCUUAAGAGACGCAAGGGGUACCUACUUAAAACGUGUACAAUUUCUAAUGGGCAGGCUAUGUGCAUGUGGCACCCUUGGAGUUGCAAAUAUACAUAGGCUUUGGUAACUACUUACUAUCAGCAAAGAUAGAUAUAACUCCGUAAUAGAUGGAUACAGUCUAAGGAAAAAACGUGCCUCGAAAAUCAAGAAAAUUUGAUUCUCGUUCAGAGGGCGCUACUGAAUUUACUGGGGUUACAAAAUUUACUAUGACAGUACCGCUCUAGUAUAAGUUACUCUAUGCUAUCAGGAAGGACGGGAUGUAACACCUUCCUUUAAUCUAUGAUCAGCGUGUGGUGCUAUGUGUUUGAUGAUUUUAUUUAUAGUUAGGUUCAUAUUAGCUAGAGUGAGGUUUUCUAUGGCAACAUUAAAAAUAAUAGAGAUAAUUCAAGCAAAUGAAAGAGAGAGAGAGAGAGAGAGAAAAUUUAUUUAACAUCACAAAACAUUAUUAAACACACAUCUUGAAAAAUAUGUACCUACUUAAUAGUUUACAACUUUACAUACUAAAGUGCACUGUCUUCACAAUCUAUUGACUCGCACAUAUUGUAUACUAUUGUAAUAUUUAUGAUGUCACAGUAAUAGCUGGUCUUAUGUCUCUGACGAAAGAGUGUUAGGAGUUUUCCAGCUUCUUUCAUUAAUCAACACUCUAUGAUCUAUGAUAGUACUGCCUAUUCUGAUAAACUGUAAACUCAAUUUUUGGGGUUCCGUACCUCAAAAGGAAAAAACGGAACCCUUAUAGGACCACUUUGUUGUCCGUCUGUCCGUCCGUCCGUCCGUCUGUCAAGACCCUCUAUCUUACGUUUUUUGAUAAUUUUAUUUUUAGUUUUAAUCAUGUGUCGAUAGAUGGCAGUGAAUUUACUGUGGCUACAAAAUUUACUAUGACAGUAACCGCUCUAUCCUAUUAUAUCCUCUUCGGUAUGAGGUUUUUUUAGUAAAAUUUUACACGCUUUUAUUAACCGCCGCCGUCGCAAGAAAGUGCUAUAAGUUUGACCGCUAUGUCGUGUGUGUGUGUGUGUGUGUGUGGCUGUCUGUGAGGCCGUAGCUCUUAAACGGGUGAAGCUAGUUGAUUUUAUGUGCAACGUUGACUUCGUAGUCAAAAUAUUUUAACGACAAGUUUACCACCGAAAAAGUAUAACUACUCUUUUUAAGGUUCCAUAGCCAAAAUGGUAAAAACUUUCUGCACAUCCGUCUGUUUGUCCGUCAGUAUAUCACAGCUAUUUUGCUCACAAACUAUCAAUUAUAUUAAAAUAAUAUUUUAAUGAAGAUAGGUGCCACUUCACAAAACAAAACGGUUUUUAGGGUUCCGUACCCAAAGGGUAAAAACGGGACCCUAUUACUAAGACUCCGCUGUCUGUCUGUCUGUCCGUCCGUCUGUCAACUGGCGUUAUCUCAUGAACCGUGAUAGUUAGACAGCUGAAAUUUUCACAGAUGAUGUAUUUCUGUUGCCGCUAUGGCAACAAAUACUAAAAACAGAAUAAAAUAAAUAUUUAAGUGGGGCUUCCAUACAACAAACGUGAUUUUUUGCUGUCUUUUUCCGUAAUCGUACGGAACCCUUCGUGCGCGAGUCCGACUCGCACUUGGCCGGUUUUUUAUAGAGUGUGGAAGGUGCAUGGAGCAAGCAUUGCAUUUAUUCUUAGUUAGGCAUAUACAUAUUAUAUUGGUUUGAGUGAGGAUUCCUUAGCAAUUAUUAGUAUUUGGUCCUGUGAAGGACUGAUGAUGGAGACCAAUGGUAGCCAUACAGGGACUGUGUGAUGAAACAACACAACCUUAUUGAGGUUUGGCUUUUAGAACUGUUGUUCACUAAUAUAUAUGACUUCAGAAGAACAGAUGUAACAAAUAGAUGUACCUAUCACAUGAACUUCAGUAGGGUGUAGCUAUUAAUUUUCAGGGUUCCGUACCGGAAGGGUGAAAACGGGACCCUAUUACUAAGACUCCACUCGUCUGUCCGUCUUGUCUGUCUGUCUGUCACCAGGCUGUAUCUCAUGAACCGUGAUAGCUAGACUGCUGUAUUUCUGUUGCCGCUAUAACAACAAAUACUAAAAAGUACGGAACCCGAGUCCGACUCGCACUUGUCCGGUUUUUUAUCAACCCAAAUUCUACAGGUUAAAUAACAUAACCAUUCACUUUCUUCUGGUAGCGGUAGCACACUCGUAUUUCCUAAGCUAGGAAAUAGUUUUCACGCAAUAUCCAGCAAUGAACAGCGUAUGUGUUUUUAGGGUUCCGUACCCAAAGGGUAAAAACGGGACCCUAUUAUUAAGACUCCUCUGUUCGUCUGUCUGUCACAAGGCUAUAUCUCAUAAACAGUGAUAGCUAGAAAGUUAAAUUUUCAAUAACAACAAAUACUAAAAAGUACGAAACCCUCGGUGGGCGAGGCCGACUCGCACUUGUUCAGUUUUUUUGUUAAAUAUUACAAGUCUUUUGUAAACCCCCGAAGCAAAAAGAGGGGUGUUAUACUUUUACCGUGUUUGUCUGUAACACCGUGUCUCUUAAACGGGCAAACCGAUCGGACGCAGAUAUUUUAGCACUUGUUCUUCGACAUGUUUCAUCAAAAUAUUCUUUAUUGCACACUUCAACACAAGAAAAUAAUACAGAUAAUACAGUAACUCAAGCAGAGGUAUUAAACAACAGGUGGUCUUAUCGUUAAAAAGCUUUUAUUAGGUUAGUCCAACGACGUGUAAAGCCGCUCAUACCCUCCAGAAUUCAGGGCAUCCAAAGAAAUCCAUUAUUAUCGGCCGCCUUGCCUCCGACUGCCUACAAGAGUGAACGUGGAGUCGUCGCCGCACCGCAUCUUCCGCUACUCACCGGCGGCUGGUUCAAGAACUCUACGAUCCUGCAGGCUCCUGAUAUAAAACUGUCCUUCUCAGGAUAAAUACAACUGCCCUUUUCAGGGCAACAGAAAAACUGUUCUUUUCAGAACAAAUGUCACUGUUUCUAUGACGACACAGCUUCAAGUGUUCUUUUCAGAACACUUGGUUCCUGUUUCUAUGUUUAUACACAGAUCAAUCGAUGCCUCUUUUUAGCGAUAACACCGUUUGGUGCCUCUACCAAAAUUGUUUAUGUUUUUAUACAUGUAUUGUAAACUGUGUGCAAUAAAGAGUAUCGUGUUGAACCACUUGUACCCUCGUAUAUAUUAAGUUAAUGUAAUACUAGGAAUCAUGAUAUUUUAAUAAAAAAGAAUAUGUCAGUUUAUUCUGAUACUUGUACUUGUGUCGCAUUCUUGUUCCCCAUGCGCUGACCGUGAGGCUCGCGAUGUGUGUGAUCGUGUAAGCGAUGUCCCGCUCGCAUCCCGGAGCGGCGUGCGGACCCGCGUCCAAUGUGAAGAUCGCCCACGUCGCCUGCACGCUCUGCUCUGCACUCGACACCAUGCUGACAGCUCUGAAACAGCUCGCAAUGCACGCAGUGAUGUGCCGUCCGCAUCCCGGAGCGGCGUGCGGGGCCGGUAUCUAGUGUGAAGAUCGCCUUCGUCGCUUGCGUGCUCUGUUCUGCCGUCGUCCCCGUGCUAUCAGGAAAUCUACAGAGAGGAGUCGAAAAUGCAGAAAUGACAGCUCGCACACAAAUGCCUAAAGCUCUGAAGCUUGUAAGCUGCUUAGAAAGUCGCCCAAAACAUAUUGGCAUAGAGUUAUGGAGCCCGUCUGCAAAAAGGUAAGAAACUUGUGAUAUUAACUUCUAAUAUUUUCACAUCUUUAUUUGAUUCAGAUAUUUCUAUUUAGAUGUAACUGCCAGUAGAGAGGUGAUGUCUCAUUAGAUGUAACCCAAUGAAAGAUUUCUCUCAUUAGAACUCCUAUAUGACUAGUGCUGCAGACUGUUAUGGGAUGCCUGCAAUUUUUAAUUAUAAACCGACACAU